UGGGGAAUAUUGCACAAUGGGCGAAAGCCUGAUGCAGCAACGCCGCGUGAGCGAUGAAGGCCUUUGGGUCGUAAAGCUCUGUCCUAGGGGAAGAAUAAAUGACGGUACCCUUGGAGGAAGCCCCGGCUAACUACGUGCCAGCAGCCGCGGUAAUACGUAGGGGGCAAGCGUUAUCCGGAAUUAUUGGGCGUAAAGAGUGCGUAGGUGGUUUUGUAAGCGCGGGGUGAAAGGCAAUAGCUCAACUAUUGUAAGCCCUGCGAACUGUGAGACUUGAGUGCAGGAGAGGAGAGCGGAAUUCCUAGUGUAGCGGUGAAAUGCGUAGAUAUUAGGAGGAACACCAGUGGCGAAGGCGGCUUUCUGGACUGUAACUGACACUGAGGCACGAA
rnacentral:rRNA from 1 species